GGAGAGUUUUAAGACUUGUAUCAUUUUCAGUAAGCUUUAUGCUUACUGGAAGGGAUGUGAGCUCUCAGCAUCCUGCUCUCGGUACCGCUCCUGCUGUCUGUCCCCACACUCUUUGCCAUGACGGACUCAUCCCCUCUGGAACGGUAAACCCAAACCAUCCUUUCUUCCUGUAAAUUACAUCGGUCAUGGUGUUUGACUGCAGGAACAGGAAGUAACUAAUACAGCUACCAUGAACCGCUUUCGGAGGAGGAUUUGAUGGGACCUAAAUCUGGAAAACCAACCUGGAAGAAAUAGACUAGCAAAUGUUCAGCAUCCAUGCCAUGAAGACUCUGAAGUCUUGGGAUUAUAAAGCUACAUAAAGCAACCGUCAUCCUAGAGGCCCACUACUGGUACUUUGCUAGGGUAUCCGGUAACUGCGGCAUCUCCUACGUGCAUCACGUUUCCUGGAAUCCCAUCUAGCCCCUGCAUGGCAGACAUCCCAUACUGGCAGGCUUCUGUGCAUAGGUGAAGAGGAACAAGCAACCUGCAGGCCUCUUAAUGGAAGAGCAGGCAGACACAUCUGUGAGACUACUAUGGAAUGGAUCCAACAAGAAACAAACCAGGAGGAUGGUAAGGUCACUCAGAGGUCAAAGAAAUUGCCACAUCUUUAGAAGACCUGAGUUUAGUUCCCAGUACCCACAGUGUGGCUCAUCUGUGACUCCAGUUCCAAGGGAUGUGACAGCUUCCUCUGACCUCCAAGGGCACCAGUCACACAUGUGGUGUGCAUACAUAUAUGCAGAUCCGCCUGGCCUAAAUGACAACUGAAUAUGCAACUCUGGAAAUUACUGUUUCUCCUAGGAAGCCACUGUCACUUAUUAAAUCGUCACAACAGAUUAAGAACGGUGAUGCCUGAAGGAUGGUUUGAACAGAACACAGCUCUGCAGUCCAGUAAGCUUCUCCCUACCGGAAGUCUCACAAGUGAAAAUGAUGGCCUCUCUCCAGAUUCCACGUCAAGCACACAGUUAAUCUCGGCGUCACUAUUCAUAUAUCUUCUGGGCAGGUGUCUAAGCAAGAACGGUUUGGAACUGCUUAAUUGGCACACACGGUAUCCUAACCUUCUCUUCUGGCUCAGGUCUAUGCAUCAAAGAAACGACUGAAGUGGACUUCAUCUUCUGUUUUAAUUGAUAUCUUCAAAAAAAAAAUGACAGCAGUGUUUAUUUGAUGUUGCACUAGACUAGUAAGUAGUUAUGACUCCUUGCCUGUAUCAUGUUGGCCUCAAAGAGACUCAAAUGCUUCACAGAGCCACUCAGUAGACUGCAGAAGAGCAGGGCAUUGGACCAGGGUCUAGAAUAAAACUUAGUAUAUUUCAGCAGCCAGGGAGAAAAGUUAGUUAGUUCAUUAUUUUCUAUCAGCUUUCAGACAAAUAAAACCAGAGAAGGUUAUCGUAUGUGUAGUUUUAAUGAACUCUUCUUUGUGACUGUAGGUAUGGCUCAAUGGCGGUACAUUUACUUGGCUUGCUUGGGUCUCUAGGUUUGACUGCCAACACCAAAUACAGAAGAAGGUAGAGGACAAAGAGGAGAAGGAAGACGGGGUAAUUAAAUCAAAAGACAGAAGGAGAAAGAGAGAGAAAAGUCUCUUAACCAGUUCUCCUCAUAAUU
rnacentral:lncRNA from 1 species